GGAAAACUUACCAGGUCCAGACAUAGUAAGGAUUGACAGAUUGAUAGCUCUUUCUUGAUUUUAUGGGUGGUGGUGCAUGGCCGUUCUUAGUUCGUGGAGUGAUUUGUCUGCUUAAUUGCGUUAACGAACGAGACCUUAACCUGCUAAAUAGGAGCGCAUAUCUCCGGAUAAGCGCCUUUCUUCUUAGAGGGACUGUAUGCGUUUUAGCAUAUGGAAGUUUGAGGCUAAAA
rnacentral:rRNA from 1 species